rnacentral:rRNA from 1 species
GAUGAACGCUGGCGGCGUGCCUAAUACAUGCAAGUCGAGCGAACAGAUAAGGAGCUUGCUCCCUUGACGUUAGCGGCGGACGGGUGAGUAACACGUGGGUAACCUACCUAUAAGACUGGAAUAACUCCGGGAAACCGGGGCUAAUGCCGGAUAACAUUUAGAACCGCAUGGUUCUAAAGUGAAAGAUGGUUUUGCUAUCACUUAUAGAUGGACCCGCGCCGUAUUAGCUAGUUGGUAAGGUAACGGCUUACCAAGGCAACGAUACGUAGCCGACCUGAGAGGGUGACCGGCCGCACUGGAACUGAGACACGGUCCAGACUCCUACGGGAGGCAGCAGUAGGGAAUCUUCCGCAAUGGGCGAAAGCCUGACGGAGCAACGCCGCGUGAGUGAUGAAGGUCUUCGGAUCGUAAAACUCUGUUAUUAGGGAAGAACAAAUGUGUAAGUAACUGUGCACGUCUUGACGGUACCUAAUCAGAAAGCCACGGCUAACUACGUG